GGGUGUGGCUACACUGACCACCCUUGAAAUAAAGACACCUCUUAUAAUCAGGCAUUAUAAUCAGGGGAAGUCCCAACUCAAUAGAAGCACAUGAAAUUAGCAGACACACUUCAAUAAACAGUUCACUUUCCAUAGUUAAAGUUAAAGUAUUAUAAUUUCCGCUAGAAUUUCCGCUAAUAACAUGUUUGCAGUUAUCCGUGUAUUCUCCCUAUGGUCGGACUAUCUUGACUGACUGUAUGUGCUCGCCAGAAAAUGAUUGUUAAGCAUUAAUUAACUAAUCGAACGGUAAUUUUCUGCACUUCCCUUAAAUUAGCUAACCCUUAACUUUCUCUGCCAUGGUGGCGAUGCAUACUUUAUUUCAAACUCUCACUCACACACACCAGAUCUUGUGGUGUGGGCGGGACCCUAAGGCGGUGGUCACAUGACUCAACCAUAAGCUCUUCAACAUAAUAAUGUCAUAAUUUACAUGUGACCCACAGUGCUAGUGAUAUGACCAUCUCCCCACCCCCCACACACACCCCCACACACACACCCACACACACCCACCCACCCACACACCACGCACAUGCAUCCAUGCAGUGUGUGAUAGGGCAUGCCUGACAGAGCGUGGUGGUCCGGGGGCUGACAGCUGUAAGGAGUGUGCCCUGGGAUAUGAGGAGGUGGAGGGAUCUUGCACAGCCUCUACUGUACUAACUGAUGCUGUACCAUUUGAUGUCACUGAAGGAGAUACCUCACAAGAUGUCCUCACUUCAUAUCCACGCACCAUUCCCUCAGGAGCUGGUGGACCGAGGACUGUGACCAUUGAGGAAUUGAAGGAACGUACAAAAGUGACCGACUCUCAACUUGACACUGAAAUUGAAGAGACUGACAUGUUGGACCUGGCAGAUCACUUUGACAAUGUGGAGACCUACCC